UUUGAAAUUUAUAUUUUAGUAAAAAAGCUAAAAUUAUUUAUAGGGACGAGAAGACCCUAUCAAGUUUUACAAUCCAAAAUUUAUUUUCAAAUUAAAUUUAAAAUUGUUUUGCUGGGGCAGCAGAUAAAAAAUUUUUAUCUUAAAAUUGUGAUUAAUAAAUCUUGAAAAAUCAAAAAAUUUUUAAUUAAAAAUAAAUUACUGUAGGGAUAACAGCAUAAUUUUUUUAGAGAGUUCUUAUCAUCAAAAAAGUUUGUGACCUCGAUGUUGGAUUAAAAUUCCUAAUUCGUGCAAUAAUGAAAUAA
rnacentral:rRNA from 1 species